UGAGGAAUAUUGGUCAACGGACGGAAGUCUGAACCAGCCAAGUAGCGUGCAGGAUGACGGCCCUAUGGGUUGUAAACUGCUUUUGUAUGGGGAUAAAGUUAGGGACGUGUCCCUAUUUGCAGGUACCAUACGAAUAAGGACCGGCUAAUUCCGUGCCAGCAGCCGCGGUAAUACGGAAGGUCCAGGCGUUAUCCGGAUUUAUUGGGUUUAAAGGGAGCGUAGGCUGGAGAUUAAGUGUGUUGUGAAAUGUAGACGCUCAACGUCUGAAUUGCAGCGCAUACUGGUUUCCUUGAGUACGCACAACGUUGGCGGAAUUCGUCGUGUAGCGGUGAAAUGCUUAGAUAUGACGAAGAACUCCGAUUGCGAAGGCAGCUGACGGGAGCGCAACUGACGCUGAAGCUCGAAGGUGCGGGUAUCGAACAGGAUUAGAUACCCUGGUAGUCCGCACAGUAAACGAUGGAUGCCCGCUGUUGGUACCUGGUAUCAGCGGCUAAGCGAAAGCAUUAAGCAUCCCACCUGGGGAGUACGCCGGCAACGGUG
rnacentral:rRNA from 1 species